rnacentral:tRNA from 1 species
GGGGCCAUAGCUCAGUUGGGACGAGCGCUUGACUGGCAGUCAAGAGGUCGCGGGUUCGAUCCCCGCUGGCUCCACCA